rnacentral:lncRNA from 12 species
GCUAAACACACACGGGGAAAGCAGGAGGACACAGCAAGGCGGUGGCUGUCUGUGAGCCAGGACGCCACCCUCGCUGGGACAGAAUCUGCCAGCACCCGGACACCCAGGCUCCAGAGCCCCAAGAAGCACACAUGGGAACUGUCAUGCUCCCCAGGUGGUAGCAUUCUGUUAGAGCCUCUCAGAUUCACUGAGAUGGGGCUGACCCAGAGAGCAUCUAAAGCAUGGGCUCCCUAGGCACGUGCUGUGGAGUUGGGUAUUCAGCAGUGGGUGGUAGGGGCUGGGCGGACAGCCAGAUUUGCACCCUGAUGCCUCAGCCCGCAGGGCAGGGAUGAGGUGAGCAAGCCAGACUGCAGCGAGCUGACCCCCGGGGACAGGAGCCGCAGCCAGACGGAUGCGGGGCUGUGGGGAGACGGACACCAUCACUGCCAGGUCAGGCGGGCCAGGAGCACAGGGCAGAGCAGGUGCCUGAACACCCCCAACACGCUCCCCUUGAUCAGCCAAACCCAUCAGCAACCGGAUCAAGUGGGCUCCAAGACUCCCAUCAGACAGGCUCUGGGGGAAGCAGCACUGGGUCUCCGAGGACCUGGCCCUGAGCGGAGGCUGCCGUCAUCUGUGGAACCUGAUGCUGAAGCUGGCGUCCUGCAAGGAGGCCCCAGAGCCUGGGACACCAUCUGGCAGAGAGGUGCGUGCUACAGAGUGGCAAAUGAGCAGAACCCCCGACGAACCCACUUACCUCCUUUGGCUCUCCUCCGGAAGCCACGAGCUGCGUUUGUGCUGUUUGGGGCUCCUCAUCAGUCAGUGGCAGGUAGGAGAAACCCCUACCUUACUGUCUAGAGAGUAAUUUCUGAGCCAAAAGCUCAAGAUAGAUCUCAUUGGGGCACAGAUUGCCUCGGAGGUUCAUGAUGUGAGCAUAGCUUCGGUUCAGAUCCUCUGAAAUACCUUCCCCUACGAGUGUUGGCCCUGUCUUCAGGACAGAGGCCCUAAAUCCAGCAAAAAAAGGUGGUGACACCUUCAGGCCUGGUGUAGCCAUGCUACCUG